rnacentral:rRNA from 1 species
AUUGAACGCUGGCGGCAUGCUUUGCACAUGCAAGUCGAACGGUAACAGGCCGCAAGGUGCUGACGAGUGGCGAACGGGUGAGUAAUGCAUCGGAACGUGCCCAGUCGUGGGGGAUAACUACUCUAAAGAGUAGCUAAUACCGCAUACGAUCUAUGGAUGAAAUCGGGGGACCGUAAGGCCUCGCGCGAUUGGAGCGGCCGAUGUCAGAUUAGUUAGUUGGUGGGGUAAAGGCUCACCAAGCCAACGAUCUGUAGCUGGUCUGAGAGGACAACCAUCCACACUGGGACUGAGACACGGCCAAGACUCCUACGGGAGGCAGCAGUGGGGAAUUUUGGACAAUGGGCGCAAGCCUGAUCCAGCAAUGCCGAGUGCAGGAAGAAGGCCUUCGGGUUGUAAACUGCUUUUGUACGGAACGAAACGGCUCUGGUUAAUACCCGGGGCUAAUGACGGUACCGUAAGAAUAAGCACCGGCUAACUACGUG